rnacentral:rRNA from 1 species
GAUGAACGCUGGCGGCGUGCCUAAUACAUGCAAGUCGAGCGAACAGACGAGGAGCUUGCUCCUCUGACGUUAGCGGCGGACGGGUGAGUAACACGUGGAUAACCUACCUAUAAGACUGGGAUAACUUCGGGAAACCGGAGCUAAUACCGGAUAAUAUAUUGAACCGCAUGGUUCAAUAGUGAAAGACGGUUUUGCUGUCACUUAUAGAUGGAUCCGCGCCUCAUUAGCUAGUUGGUAAGGUAAAGGCUUACCAAGGCGACGAUGCGUAGCCGGCCUGAGAGGGUGAUCGCCCACACUGGAACUGAGACACGGUCCAGACUCCUACGGGAGGCAGCAGUAGGGAAUCUUCCGCAAUGGGCGAAAGCCUGACGGAGCAACGCCGCGUGAGUGAUGAAGGUCUUCGGAUCGUAAAACUCUGUUAUUAGGGAAGAACAAAUGUGUAAGUAACUAUGCACGUCUUGACGGUACCUAAUCAGAAAGCCCCGGCUAACUACGUG